AACGAUGAUGCCCAGCUUGCUGGGCGGAUUAGUGGCGAACGGGUGAGUAAUCCGUGAGUAACCUGCCCUUGACUCUGGGAUAAGCCUGGGAAACUGGGUCUAAUACUGGAUACUACCUCUUACCGCAUGGUGGGUGGUGGAAAGGGUUUUACUGGUUUUGGAUGGGCUCACGGCCUAUCAGCUUGUUGGUGGGGUAAUGGCUCACCAAGGCGACGACGGGUAGCCGGCCUGAGAGGGUGACCGGCCACACUGGGACUGAGACACGGCCCAGACUCCUACGGGAGGCAGCAGUGGGGAAUAUUGCACAAUGGGCGGAAGCCUGAUGCAGCGACGCCGCGUGAGGGAUGACGGCCUUCGGGUUGUAAACCUCUUUCAGUAGGGAAGAAGCGAGAGUGACGGUACCUGCAGAAGAAGCGCCGGCUAACUACGUGCCAGCAGCCGCGGUAAUACGUAGGGCGCAAGCGUUGUCCGGAAUUAUUGGGCGUAAAGAGCUCGUAGGCGGUUUGUCGCGUCUGCUGUGAAAGCCCGGGGCUCAACCCCGGGUCUGCAGUGGGUACGGGCAGACUAGAGUGCAGUAGGGGAGACUGGAAUUCCUGGUGUAGCGGUGAAAUGCGCAGAUAUCAGGAGGAACACCGAUGGCGAAGGCAGGUCUCUGGGCUGUUACUGACGCUGAGGAGCGAAAGCAUGGGGAGCGAACAGGAUUAGAUACCCUGGUAGUCCAUGCCGUAAACGUUGGGCACUAGGUGUGGGGGACAUUCCACG
rnacentral:rRNA from 1 species